UGGGGAAUAUUGGACAAUGGGCGAAAGCCUGAUCCAGCCAUGCCGCGUGUGUGAAGAAGGUCUUCGGAUCGUAAAGCACUUUAAGUUGGGAGGAAGGGCAGUAAGCGAAUACCUUGCUGUUUUGACGUUACCGACAGAAUAAGCACCGGCUAACUCUGUGCCAGCAGCCGCGGUAAUACAGAGGGUGCAAGCGUUAAUCGGAAUUACUGGGCGUAAAGCGCGCGUAGGUGGUUCGUUAAGUUGAAUGUGAAAGCCCCGGGCUCAACCUGGGAACUGCAUCCAAAACUGGCGGGCUAGAGUAGGGCAGAGGGUGGUGGAAUUUCCUGUGUAGCGGUGAAAUGCGUAGAUAUAGCAAGGAACACCAGUGGCGAAGGCGACCACCUGGGCUCAUACUGACACUGAGGUGCGAAAGCGUGGGGAGCAAACAGG
rnacentral:rRNA from 1 species